rnacentral:rRNA from 1 species
UACAGGGGGGGCAAGCGUUGUUCGGAAUUACUGGGCGUAAAGGGCGCGUAGGCGGCCCGCUAAGUCGAACGUGAAAUCCCCGGGCUCAACCCGGGAACUGCGUCCGAUACUGGUGGGCUCGAAUCCGGGAGAGGGAUGCGGAAUUCCAGGUGUAGCGGUGAAAUGCGUAGAUAUCUGGAGGAACACCGGUGGCGAAGGCGGCAUCCUGGACCGGUAUUGACGCUGAGGCGCGAAAGCCAGGGGAGCAAACGGG